CCCCAACUUACCCUGGAAGACGUUAUAUCAGGCCUUCUUGAG
rnacentral:tRNA from 1 species